AGCUCAGUUGGUUAGAGCACCAGCCUGUCACGCUGGGGGUCGUCGGUUCGAGCCCGAUC
rnacentral:tRNA from 1 species